rnacentral:rRNA from 1 species
UACGUAGGGCGCAAGCGUUGUCCGGAAUUAUUGGGCGUAAAGAGCUCGUAGGCGGUUUGUCGCGUCUGCUGUGAAAACCUAAGGCUCAACCUUGGGCUUGCAGUGGGUACGGGCAGACUAGAGUGCGGUAGGGGUGACUGGAGUUCCUGGUGUAGCGGUGGAAUGCGCAGAUAUCAGGAGGAACACCGAUGGCGAAGGCAGGUCACUGGGCCGCAACUGACGCUGAGGAGCGAAAGCAUGGGGAGCGAACAGG